UCUCUCUCAGUCUCUCUUCCAAAACCCCUCUUUCAUAACCAAGAACACUGAAAUCUGCGAUUUCAACUUAAAAACCAAAAAUCCAAACUAUUUAUUCUAAACACUGACAUCCUAAUCAAAACCCAUAUAUCAGAAAUCUAGAUCUAUACUAUACAAACUUGAAAUUUCUUAGAAACUAUACAAACAUGAAAUUCCUUGGAAACCCUAGAAAAUUGAUGUUCUUCAUGAAAUCCGAAAAAACCCAUCAAUCUUAUAAUAGGUUAUGCUUCUAUUAACUAAAAAUUGGUUGAUUCUGACCUACUUUAUCAUCAGUGGUUGGUGAUGUUGUUGAUGGAGGUUGGAUUCAGGAAACUGAGUUCUUUGCAUUUCAUGCUCACCUGAUGGGCCACAAAAAAUGGAUUACUGCCACUUCAUGGGAGCCUGUACACCUGAGUAUCCAUGUCGCCGCUUUGCAACUUCAAGUAAAGAUGGGGAUGGGGGAAGUAGUGGAGCUGGAAUCGAGGCGGCAAGCAAUAUGAUGUAGAAAUUCUGGAUUCAACCAUGAUGUCCACUCCCGAAUUGAUCAAGUUCAGCUGCUAUUAAAAGGAGCUAGCGAGAGGGGUGCCAAAAGAAUCCGCCAACAUAUUCUCACUGAUGUUCGUGAUGUUUUGGAUGGUUCAAGUGUAGUGUCUAUUGAAACCGUUGAGAACGACCUUGCACAAUUGCGAGCAAAUGGUGUUGAUGCACAAAUUGCAUCUGGUGGGGGUCGCAUGAAUGUCACCAUGGACCGUAAGAGCUGGGGAACUGACAGUUCUGUAAAUUAUUUGAAUGACUGGGGUGUCGUAAAAAGAGGAUGGGAUGCUGCAGUUCUUGGUGAAGCACCAUACAAGUUUAAGAGUGCUUUAGAAGUAGUUAAGUGCCUUACACAACAAACUCGUAACAGAUGUGAAAGCGGCAAGGGAAAAGAAUGAUGUUUAUUCUUCCAGGAAGAGGCGGAGAAAAAGGUUAUGAGCAUACACAGUUCAUCAGAUUGAUUCAUAUUGUUCAUACCCUUUUUAAGAAAAAUUUGAUGUGCUACUGACUUCAAGACCGCGAAUACUGGCAGCUGCCACACCUCCUGCAAGUGAUGGAGAAAUAGAUCAAGUUGGUUCCGUCUUGGAUGCUCUGAAUAACGCCCCCCUCCACUUAUACAACCACACACCUGAAACUGAAGUUCCCAUUGAUUUGGUUAUGACUUAAGCUAAUUGAAUGAUGAUUCGCAGGUUGAAUCAUGAGGUCAUUAAUAAUGCGGUGUCGAUUGCUCAUUAUAUAGCUUAUUUAAAACUUAAGGUGAGUGCUUUAUGAUCUUUCAAAUUCAGAAACUAGGAUUCUUUAGCUAAGUUAGAUAAUCUGAAAUCUAGGGGUUUCCAAUAGAUUGUUUUUUAUUUUGUAAAUCAAACCAAUUUAUUGUAUGAGAUUGUGUCUACACUUAUUAGGAUCAAGAAGGUGCUACUCUACUUGUAUGGGUUUAUGAUAUGUUCAUCUAUUACAUGCUGAUGUAUGAAUUCUUCUUGAUCGGUUGUGAUGAUCAAUAAUGUUCUUGAUAGAUUGUGAUGAUAUUGAGAUUACAUCCAAAUGAUAAAUGGGGUAUUCUAGUUCAUCUAGAAUGGUAUAUGCAGGUGCAGAAUCAAUAUAUAUUCAGGUGCAAAAUCAUUAUAUAUAUUCAGGUGCGAAAAUCUGUCGGGAAUUGUUGCAUCUGCUGUUAACAGCAACGACAUGGUCCAGCACUGGUGGCUCUCUAUAUGCCACUUCAACCUUUUGCACCUGCUUUUCUAUCAAAGAUUUUCCUGGGAGACGUUAUUUACCUUGGCAGAUGUUCAUGAUGGGUCUUCAGUUCUAAUUGGCAGAUAUUUAUCCUCUAGUUUUGCUUUUCAGAUUUAUUUUGUCCAGGUUGAUUAACUGUCUCAAACUACACUGAGCUUGCUCGAUGCUAUCAGAAUCUCAAGGACCAAGAUGUGCUCAGUCGAUGAUGGCGAUGCCCAGACGUUAUGGGAAGCAAUUGCAGGUCAUGUUUCCAUAUAAGGCCUCAAACUUAAAUUUUAGACGAACAUUGUUUACGAAGAUAUUGAUUUUAAUACUCUUCCACUAUUGGUACUUCUGAUUAAAAGGUAUGCGUAAACAACAGGUAUUCUUAUGAACUAAUUCAUAUUUUCAAAAUCAGAAACUUGGAUUCGUGACCAUUGUUAGUAUUUAUCAUUGAAUCAACCAAAUAAUUGUAUGGUUUAUUAUAGUUCAUAUGUUACAUGAUUCAACUCGAGGAAUUCAUAGGAUUCGUAUCUGUGUUACAAACUGAUAUAUCUUGAUGGAUUGUGAUGACAAA